CAUGCUGAUCACUCAUCAAUAUAAGUCUUUACUGUCUCUUAAGAAAUAGUUUCUAAGUGACUUUUUGAGAAGCAGGAAGAGAGAGGCCAAUUUCAGGAUGUGUAGAUCCUGCAUCAGUGGUUGUCCGACUCAUGAGACGCUGGGGGGACCGGAAGUGUGACAGCGGGGACCACUCUCAUAGGACCAAGACGCACACACACGUCACCGAGAAGCCUCAGGGACGGUUUCCAAGUGGAUUCAAACCAAACCAAAACACAAAGCUGUAUUCCUUUGGGCCAGAUAAGGGCAAGAAGAGCGGUGCAAAGCAGUCAGAACAUAAAAUACAGAAAUCAGGAAGCUGGGAAAGCAACAGCCCCUUGAGCAGAUGGCGCAUUCGUGACCUGAGUGUGAGUGCAGGGAAGGUGCUGAAUCCACUGUGGAGAGAACCUGAGUUUGGGCUGAAAAGACCAGAGUCGACGCCCACGCCUGAAGUCCGCCCUGGCUCCGCUGUUUGAUCGUGCCGUGACCUGGUUGAUGGCUGUGCUGCUCUGAGCUUCAGUGCCUCCACAGCAAGAAGAACAGGGGUCUCAACAAACGUCAGCAACGGCAACCGUACCUUCCGGACACCACACUCACACCAGGCAGACCAGCCAGCCUCCCGGCCCAGGCUGCCAGGAGCUCCUCCCACUCAUGUUACAGAGCGUCACGAACCCAGGCCCAGGAGGAAGGGCCACCCCUGAAAGCUGUCCCUGGCUCAGACGGUGAGGGAGCGUCUGGAAUAAAGGGGGACAGCGGUCCUGCUGCGCCGGGAAG
rnacentral:lncRNA from 1 species